GACGAACGCUGGCGGCGUGCCUAAUACAUGCAGGUAGAACGCUGAAGGAGGAGCUUGCUCUUCUGGACGAGUUGCGAACGGGUGAGUAACGCGUAGGUAACCUGCCUGGUAGCGGGGGAUAACUAUUGGAAACGAUAGCUAAUACCGCAUAACAGUUGAUGUUGCAUGACAUUUGAUUAAAAGGUGCAAUUGCACCACUACCAGAUGGACCUGCGUUGUUUUAGGUAGUUGGUGGGGUAACGGCUCACCAAGGCGACGAUACAUAGUCGACCUGAGAGGGGGGUCCGCCAAACUGGGACUGGAACACGGCCCAGACCCCCACGGGAAGCAGCAGUAGGGAAACUUCGGCAAUUGACGGAAGGCUGAACGGGCAAAGCCGCGUGAGUGAAGAAAGGUUUCGGAUCGUAAAGCUCUGUUGUAAGAGAAGAAAGAGUGUGAGAGUGGAAAGUUCACACUGUGACGGUAUCUUACCAGAAAGCGACGGCUAACUACGUG
rnacentral:rRNA from 1 species